rnacentral:rRNA from 1 species
UACAGAGGUCCCAAGCGUUACUGAGAUUCACUGGGUUUAAAGGGUGCGUAGGUGGUCCGUUAAGUCAGUUGUGAAAUCCCCGGGCUCAACCCGGGAACUGCUUCUGAUACUGGCGGACUUGAGGCCAGUAGGGGUCACUAGAACUGACGGUGGAGCGGUGAAAUGCGUAGAUAUCGUCAGGAAUGCCUGUGGUGAAGACGGGUGACUGGGCUGGUUCUGACGCUGAGGCGCGAAAGCUGGGGGAGCAAACGGG